ensembl:lncRNA
CUUCCCCCUUCAAAGAUUUAGUUUACUGAUCCCUGGCCUGAGAAUUUAUUUAGUCCCUUGUGUCCCAAAGAAACUGACAGAAGUCACACCACCCCAGUUCCUUGUAGACAAAACGUGAGAAGAUUCUCCUUUUUACUUGAGGAAUAACUAUACAACAUGCAAAAUAAGGAGACACACUUGCUAUACUCUCUGCUUUCUACUUCCCACAACACAAAACCUGUGCAGUUACCUAGAAAAUCCAAAAGUUUCUGACAAUAUAACUGUAACAAUAAUUGUGUCAUAAAAUUAUAGGAUCUAAGGCACAGAAAGGAAAAACUUUAUCGAGUUUGCAAGAAAUAACCCUGACUCCUCGAGCUACUUUUAGGAGCGGUUAAGGGUUUGUCUCUUCCUAGGGCCUGUGCCAUGUCUUUGAAAAAAAGUGGCUUGGGCCCAAAGCACACACGGGGCAGCUCUGCAGCCCCAUGGGGACCCUCCAGAGCAAAUGUCUGCACCCAACGUUGCAACUCUCGAUUCAGACACACCCCCUCCACCCCGCGUUUCAGAGGAGGUGUGGGCACUCAACUCCUUCACUGGGGAUAGGGGGACCGGAGGGAGGGCGGGCCCAGGCCUGAGCACCCAUUUUGGAGGAUCGGGGAGCUCGGCCCUGCAGGCUGUGCGAUCAGGAGUGGAGGAGUGGUGGGCGAAUCCGUGGGAGCGAGGAAGGAGGCAGGAGGGAGGGGGUCUCAUGUUCGGGGGCGAGAAAAGGAAGGCGGCGGGAAAGACUCGGUAGGGCGAGAUUGAUCAGUGCGAGGGGCCGCGCUCGCUCCGGCGGGCCGGCGAGAGCGGCAGCGGGAGGUGGCGCUGCCUUAGCUCAUCGGCUUGGCGAGGGCUCCCGGAGGGACCAGGACCUGUCCCCGCCCAGACCCCUGCACCUGACGGAUUCCUCCCUUCAAAAGUGUCCUCACGUCGAGCCCCGACGCCCCUCACCCGGCUGCGGCCAGGCCACUGCUGUAACACCACACCAUACCCCCGGGGGUUCUUCCGGUGCGCCCACCGCCCACUUAGGACGCCUGCAUUAUUUUUUACUUUCCACUGCCGACGAAUUUGUGUCCUUCUGGAUUUUUACUCCAGUGGACAGGGGUCGUUGCUCUCUGAUCCUACGUUUUACCAGCAACCCAAAUCUCCUUGUUUCCAUUUCUAUCCUUCUCUCCACGCUAAACGUUCAUGGAAAUAACCGCCAAGUAAUGGUAAUGAUGGAUACACGCAGAAGGCACGGUUCCGACCUUCCCCAAUAAAUUGUCAUCUUAAUCAGCUGUCUAGGCUGCCUCCUAAGAGUGGUAAGAAGCUUCGGGAGGUGCUGGUGGGGAAAGAUAAAGGGAUUUUAAGACCCCUGGGCUCAGUCUUGAGUGGAAAAGUCAUCCCUCUGGGUGAGGUCAGGUAAGGCCUUGCCUGCUGAGACCAAUUCCAGUCUUUCCCACUAGGGAAGAUAGAUCCUGUUUUCCAUUAGAUCCCACUCUGGCUUCCAGUCAUGGUCCCCAGAUUAAAUUUUAUCUGAAUUCUGAGAGUAUAGGUUGUAUGUUAGUAGUGAAUGACACACACACUUUCUGUUAAGGAUCAGGAGGACUGGUGCUCAGCAUUCAUUUCAACCUUCGUCCUCCUCCGAGUGUGUCUUCCUCAUUCGCAGAGGUAGGACACCUAAAAACUACAUUACCCAGACUUCCUUGCAGCCAGGGUUCUCGAUGCAAGUUAAGCUCAGUUAAGUUCACUCGCCCAGUC